GCAGGAAAGAAGACCGACACGGAACAAAGAAACAGAUCGCGACGAUAACCCGCGUUAGGCGCGGUAACCGUCUGCUCCGUGGUCCGGUCGCCUAGGCAAUGGCCGCGCAUGCGCAACGCCACGUGACAGCGGCAGAACGCCGUCGGGGCCCGGCCGCGGAAGAUGUGGAUGCAAGUGCGGCAUAAUCCUGUUGGUGUUAUCAACGGACAAACUCUUCGACUAGGAAUGCCUCUCCACGCGUAUUCCUGACGCAAGCUUCACCUGCCGCUAUCAGUGUGUGUUUUGCUGCCGUAGUGUCAUCAGCAAAAUUCAUCUUCGGUGAUCCAGAAACAUUGAGUGUUGUGUCAUCCAGCCAGGCAAAUCGCAAGAGCCUCUCUACGCACUUCACCUUCAGUGGGCACGCGAACAGAACUUUCGACAUGGCCCGUUCUACUGGGAUCUGUCCCAUGCAGGCGUAAUCCUGUUGGUGUUAUCAACAGACAAACUCUUCGACUUGGAAUGCGUCUCCACGCACAUUUCCGACGCAAGCUUCACCUGUCGCUAUCAGUGUGCGUUUUGCUGCCGUGGUGUCAUCAGCAAAGUUCAUCUUCGGUGAUCCAGAAACAUUGAGUGUUGUGUCAUCCAGCCAGGCACAUCGCAAGAGCCUCUCUACGCACUUCACCUUCAGUGCGCACACGAACAGAACUUUCGACAUGGCCCAUUCUAUUGGGAUCUGUCCCAUAC